ensembl:lncRNA
CACACCUGUUGAUGAGCCAGCUGAUAAAGAACCCAGUAGCCAACAGUUAUUCAUCAGUUACUCGUCUGUAACCCGACAGUUAGAGAGGAGAAACUAUCAGGAGAGAAGAAUCAUGUCGGUGGAAGUCCACAUAGAAUAUUGUAGUGGAUGAGGGUACGAGUCUUGCUAUCAGGACCUAGCAUCUGCCAUCAAGCGGAACGUUCCUGAUGUGACGGUGACGGGAACCACGGGGCGGCGCUCCAGUUUCGAGGUAACAGUGAAUGGUAAACUGGCCUACUCUAAACUGGAGGCAGGAGGAUUCCCAGACACCAAGGAGAUGGUGGCGAUGGUGAAGGAGGUGAGCCGUGGAGGAAAGGUGGAGAAAGUGAAGAAGAAGGAUAAUAAGUGUUUUCUCCAAUAGAUGAGUGGUUAUUGAGAGGAGAGUGUUUUUUUAAGAUCCUGGGUCCUGAACUGAUUCUAUUAAUGAUUGUUCACAAUGAAACUAGGGAUGUGAACAUGAUGAAGUCGACAGUCAUUUCAACUCUGUGAUCUGAGGGAAAUACUCUUAUCCUGUGUCUCUGUGUUACACUGUCAUGUCUUAUGUUAUUCCUUGUCUGUUUUUCUUUCCUUAUACAGACCAAGAUAUUAUAGACUGACGAGCAUUUAGUUUUGCAUUCUAGAAAUAUUGUACUCAAUGUAGACCUCUGCAGUUGUAUAGGCUGUACGUGUAUUUUUAAAUGAUCAAAUAAAUUCUAGGAAUCAAUUAGUAUUGAGUUUGUGUGUGGGGAGGGUGCUGUUGGACAUUUACAAUAAUGCUGUUGGACAUUUACAAUAAUGCUGUUGGACAUUUACAAUAAAGCUGUUGGACAUUUACAAUAAAGCUGUUGGACAUUUACAAUAAUGCUGUUGGACAUUUACAAUAAAGCUGUUGGACAUUUACAAUAAUGCUGUUGGACAUUUACAAUAAAGCUGUUGGACAUUUACAAUAAAGCUGUUGGACAUUUACAAUAAAGCUGUUGGACAUUUACAAUAAUGCUGUUGGACAUUUACAAUAAAGCUGUUGGACAUUUACAAUAAAGCUGUUGGACAUUUACAAUAAUGCUGUUGGACAUUUA